rnacentral:rRNA from 1 species
CGAUGCAAACUGCGAAUACCGGAGAAUGUUAUCACGGGAGACACACGGCGGGUGCUAACGUCCGUCGUGAAGAGGGAAACAACCCAGACCGCCAGCUAAGGUCCCAAAGUCAUGGUUAAGUGGGAAACGAUGUGGGAAGGCCCAGACAGCCAGGAUGUUGGCUUAGAAGCAGCCAUCAUUUAAAGAAAGCGUAAUAGCUCACUGGUCGAGUCGGCCUGCGCGGAAGAUGUAACGGGGCUAAACCAUGCACCGAAGCUGCGGCAGCGACGCUUAUGCGUUGUUGGGUAGGGGAGCGUUCUGUAAGCCUGUGAAGGUGUGCUGUGAGGCAUGCUGGAGGUAUCAGAAGUGCGAAUGCUGACAUAAGUAACGAUAAAGCGGGUGAAAAGCCCGCUCGCCGGAAGACCAAGGGUUCCUGUCCAACGUUAAUCGGGGCAGGGUGAGUCGACCCCUAAGGCGAGGCCGAAAGGCGUAGUCGAUGGGAAACAGGUUAAUAUUCCUGUACUUGGUGUUACUGCGAAGGGGGGACGGAGAAGGCUAUGUUGGCCGGGCGACGGUUGUCCCGGUUUAAGCGUGUAGGCUGGUUUUCCAGGCAAAUCCGGAAAAUCAAGGCUGAGGCGUGAUGACGAGGCACUACGGUGCUGAAGCAACAAAUGCCCUGCUUCCAGGAAAAGCCUCUAAGCAUCAGGUAACAUCAAAUCGUACCCCAAACCGACACAGGUGGUCAGGUAGAGAAUACCAAGGCGCUUGAGAGAACUCGGGUGAAGGAACUAGGCAAAAUGGUGCCGUAACUUCGGGAGAAGGCACGCUGAUAUGUAGGUGAAGUCCCUCGCGGAUGGAGCUGAAAUCAGUCGAAGAUACCAGCUGGCUGCAACUGUUUAUUAAAAACACAGCACCGUGCAAACACGAAAGUGGACGUAUACGGUGUGACGCCUGCCCGGUGCCGGAAGGUUAAUUGAUGGGGUCAGCGCAAGCGAAGCUCUUGAUCGAAGCCCCGGUAAACGGCGGCCGUAACUAUAACGGUCCUAAGGUAGCGAAAUUCCUUGUCGGGUAAGUUCCGACCUGCACGAAUGGCGUAAUGAUGGCCAGGCUGUCUCCACCCGAGACUCAGUGAAAUUGAACUCGCUGUGAAGAUGCAGUGUACCCGCGGCAAGACGGAAAGACCCCGUGAACCUUUACUAUAGCUUGACACUGAACAUUGAGCCUUGAUGUGUAGGAUAGGUGGGAGGCUUAGAAGUGUGGACGCCAGUCUGCAUGGAGCCGACCUUGAAAUACCACCCUUUAAUGUUUGAUGUUCUAACGUUGAUCCGUGAUCCGGGUUGCGGACAGUGUCUGAUGGGUAGUUUGACUGGGGCGGUCUCCUCCUAAAGAGUAACGGAGGAGCACGAAGGUUGGCUAAUCCUGGUCGGACAUCAGGAGGUUAGUGCAAUGGCAUAAGCCAGCUUGACUGCGAGCGUGACGGCGCGAGCAGGUGCGAAAGCAGGUCAUAGUGAUCCGGUGGUUCUGAAUGGAAGGGCCAUCGCUCAACGGAUAAAAGGUACUCCGGGGAUAACAGGCUGAUACCGCCCAAGAGUUCAUAUCGACGGCGGUGUUUGGCACCUCGAUGUCGGCUCAUCACAUCCUGGGGCUGAAGUAGGUCCCAAGGGUAUGGCUGUUCGCCAUUUAAAGUGGUACGCGAGCUGGGUUUAGAACGUCGUGAGACAGUUCGGUCCCUAUCUGCCGUGGGCGCUGGAGAACUGAGGGGGGCUGCUCCUAGUACGAGAGGACCGGAGUGGACGCAUCACUGGUGUUCGGGUUGUCAUGCCAAUGGCACUGCCCGGUAGCUAAAUGCGGAAGAGAUAAGUGCUGAAAGCAUCUAAGCACGAAACUUGCCCCGAGAUGAGUUCUCCCUGACUCCUUGAGAGUCCUGAAGGAACGUUGAAGACGACGACGUUGAUAGGCCGGGUGUGUAAGCGCAGCGAUGCGUUGAGCUAACCGGUACUAAUGAACCGUGAGGCUUAACCUU